GUUACAUUAAGGGCGAAUGGUGGAUGCCUUGACAGCAAAAGACGAUGAAGGACGUAGCAGCCUGCGAUAAGCCUCGGCUAGGUGGCAAGCAACCUGUGAUCCGGGGAUUUCCGAAUGGGGGAACCCUCUUCAAUUUAAAUUGAAGAAUCAUAAGCUGAAUUCAUAGGCUUAUGAGGCAGACCUGGGGAAUUGAAACAUCUUAGUACCCAGAGGAAAAAAAAGAAACAAUAUUAGUUAUUAGUUCCAAAAGUCGCCUUCGGGUGGCUUAAAGAAUUAAUGGCUAAUCUCGAUUCCCUUAGUAGUGGCGAGCGAACAGGGAAAAGCCCAAACCAUUUUAGUGUUGUCGUUUUAGGCCGCCUUUGGCGGCUUAGGCGAUUUAAAGGUUCAAGCCGUUGCUGAAAUGGCGUAGUGAGAAGUUACUUUUGCGGAGCUUGAAGUCCGCAGCAGAGAAAAUUAUGGUUACAUCCCUAGCAGAAGCCGCUGGAAAGCGGCGCCAAAGAGGGUGAUGGCCCCGUACGCGAAAGGGGUAAUCGCUCUGUGGUAGCAUAUCUCAAGUACUUCAGGACUCGUGAAAUCCUGAACGAAUCAAGCGCGACUAUGCGCUAAGGCUAAAUACUUUUGCUGAUCGAUAGUGAACAAGUACCGUGAGGGAAAGGUGAAAAGUAUCCCGGUGAGGGAGAUGAAAUAGUAUCUGAAACCAUUUGCUUACAAAGAAUCAGAGCCCGCCUUCGCUUUUCGCUUCACGAAAAGCUCCGGUGGACAGGCCCAUUUAUCAGUUAUUUCUGAUGAGGCUUGUCCACCGUAGCUCAAGUGGAACGCAGAGCGAAGGUGGGUGAUGGUGUUCCUAUUGAAGAAUGAACCAACGAGUGUGUUGUGUGUUGCUUAAUCUAACCCUUAUGAGGGGUAGGUGUAGUGAAAGCGAGCCUUAACCGGCGUUUUUAGUUAAAUAGUUGCUGGUUCGUUUUUCGGACUAGCCAACUAUUUCUCUAAAGGGCAGCAUAUACACGACCCGAAACCAGGUGAGCUAUCCUUGGCCAGGGUGAAGCGUCCGUAACAAGACGUGGAAGCCCGAACCCACCAGCCGUGCAACACUGGGGGAUGAGUUAUGGAUAGAGGAGAAAUUCCAAUCGAACCUGGCAAUAGCUGGUUCUACCCGAAAUAGCUUUAGGGCUAGCCUUAAAUGUUUCCUGUUGGUGGUAGAGCACUGAAUGGGACAGGGUGGGGAAACCUUACCUGUCCUAACCAAACUCCGAAUGCCAAUAGGUUAAGUUUAAGAGUCAGACUAUGGGGGCUAAGCUCCAUCAGUCAAAAGGGCAACAGCCCAGAUCCACAUCUAAGGUCCCCAAAUCCAAGUUAAGUGUAAAAGGUGGUAUUGUGACUUAUACAACUAGGAGGUUGGCUUAGAAGCAGCCAUCCUUUAAAGAAAGCGUAAUAGCUCACUGGUCAAGUCGCUUUGCGCCGAAAAUUUAACGGGGCUAAACUUGGUACCGAAGAUUGGACCCUGUACCGUAUGGUACAGGGGGUAGGGUAGCAUUCUAUAUUCGUUUGAAGUCUAAGGCGCGAGCCAAGAUGGAGGAUAUAGAAGAGAGAAUGUUGGUAUAAGUAACAAAAACCUAGGUGAGAAUCCUAGGCACCGAAAACCUAAGGUUUCCUGGGCAAUGAUUUUCAACCCAGGGUUAGGCGAUCCUAAGCCGAGGCCGAAGGGCGUAGGCGAUGGAAGAGCAGGUUAAUAUUCCUGCCCUGUUUAUAUUUUCCGAUGGAGUGACGUUGUUUCAAGUUUUAAGCGUCCGUAUGGUUAUGACGUUGGCCUUUUUUGGAUUCUUCCUUGGCAAAUCCGGGAAGAACCAGUCCGAAGAAGGCGAGAAGGUUGCGGUUUUCCAAAGCCAACUUAAGAGGAGAAAUAAUCAAGAAAAACUUCUAGGUUUUCCGUCAGUUUUGCCACAAGCAAGGCCGGCGGUUUAAAAUAUAAGCAACCGUACCGUAAACCGACACAGGUAGGUGAGGCGAGAAGCCUAAGGUGUACGAGAGAACCUUCGUUAAGGAACUCGGCAAAAUAGCGGCCGUAAGUUCGCAAUAAGGCCUGCCUUCUACGUUCCUUACUGCGUUCGGAACUUCGAAGGCCAGGUCCCCCAUCUAUUUAUCUUUGGGGACCUGGCCUCCGUAGCUCGAGCGUAGCGAGGAGCGUAGGAGGCCGCAGCUAAAGAAUCCAAGCGACUGUUUAUCAAAAACACAGGUCCCUGCUCAAACCGUAAGGUGAGGUAUAGGGGCUGAUGCCUGGCCAGUGUCAGAACGUUAAGGGGAGAGGUGCAAGCCUUGAACUGAAGCGCUGAUGAACGCCGGCGAUAACUAUAAUCGUCCUAAGGUAGCGAAAUUCCUUGUCGGGUAAGUUCCGACCUGCACGAAUGGCAUAACGACUUGGAAACUGUCUCAACGAAGGACUCGGUGAAAUUGCAAGAUGAGUAAAGAUGCUCAUUACCCGUAGCUGGACGAAAAGACCCCGUGAAGCUUUACUACAACUUGGUAUUGGGUUAAGAACAUAGUUGUUCAGCAUAGGUGGAAGACUGUGAAGUCCCGUCGUCAGGCGGGAUGGAGUCGUCAGUGAGAUACCACCCUUUUGUGUUUUUAAUUCUAAUCCUGUCCCAUGAAACUGGGUAGGAGACAGUAUCUGGUGGGUAGUUUAACUGGGGCGGUUGCCUUAACAAAAUUAAUCUCCGUUAAUUUAAUGGGGCAGCGUGGUAGCAAUAUCGCGUCAAAACCGCCGUAUGGUCUAUAAAAAUAAUCUUAGCUUAUAUGCUGGAACCUCCGUUGGCAUCCUCAAUUACUUGAAUAAAGUGAAAAUAUUGAGGCGGUUUAUCCGAAUUAAACAGGAUAAUAACGGACAAUCAGCAGGGAAACGCUUCAAGCGUGCCCUCAACGACUAGACGCUAAGCCCCCACCGCUUCCGAGCAGUGGGGUGAAGAUAUAGUCUGAACUCUGGGGCGACCCAGAGAGUCUAAUUAAAUUAGACAUCAAGAAUCAUAUGAAAACAUUCAAGAUUUCGUCCGAUCAAAAACAAAUCAUCAUGGGUAAAUUAUUAGGCGAUGGACACUUGGAAACUGCCAAUGGCAAAACUUGGCGUUUAAAGAUAGAACAUUCUUUAAGCCAAAAAGUUUACGUCGAUUGGCUGUAUGACAAGUUGAAAAAUCUGGCGGCUAGCGAACCAAGAAUAAAACAACAGGCGGUUCAGGGCAAAGUUUAUAGCAAGUACUGGUUUAAUACCUGCUACAGCGGCAGUUUCAGAUUUUACAGCCAGAAAUUUUAUGACCACGGUCGUAAAAUAGCUCCCAGGCAAAUCAAGCGCUGGCUGACACCCUUGGCUUUAGCCGUUUGGUACAUGGAUGACGGCUCCAGAAAAUCCCAUCAGCAUCGCGCUAAGAUAAUUAACACUCAAAGUUUUGAUCGGUUUAGUUUGAAUCUUUUACAGAGCGCUUUAAAACUUAAUUUCGGCAUAGAAACUAAGUUAAGAAAGCAAAGAGAGGGCUGGCAAAUCUAUAUUUUCGGCCGUGAAGCCGAAAAAUUCGCCAAAGUUAUAGGCAAAUAUGUUCUGCCAAACUUCUCUUACAAACUUGAUUAACACAAUGCCCAAAAUGUAACGGAGGCGUUUACUAAGGUUGGCUAGCUCCCGAUGGAAACGGGACGUGGUCGUGCAAACGCAUAAGCCAGCUUUACUGCAAGGGCUACAACCCGCGCAGUUGCGAAAGCAGAAGUUAGUGAUCCGACCGUAUUACCCUGAACCUUUAUGGUUUAGGGUCGAAGUAGGACGGCGGAAGCUCAACGGAUAAAAGUUACUCCGGGGAUAACAGGCUGAUCGCGCCCAAGCGUCCACAGCGACGGCGCGGUUUGGCACCUCGAUGUCGGCCCAUCGCAUCCUGGGGGUGAAGAAGCUCCCAAGGGUUUGGCUGUUCGCCAAUUAAAGCGGUACGCGAGCUGGGUUCAGAACGUAAAUUACAUUGCGUUCUAUCACAGAGAUGUGAUACAAGAAAUCUGACUAAAAUCGGUGAAACCCUACUUGGAUUUCGAACUGUCCAAGAGGGCAAUACCGAGGGAAGAUUAGAUUUAUGUCUAACGAAGAAUUAGCUUAUAUUGCCGGUUUCCUUGAUGGAGACGGCUGCAUUAUGGCGCAGUUAGUUUACCGUAAAGAUUACAUUUACGGUUAUCAGGUAAGAACAAGCAUUGUUUUUUACCAAAAAUCGAUCCAUCAAGGCAUCCUUCACUGGCUGAAGAAUAAGCUGAACCAUGGUUAUAUCAGGCUCCGCAAUGAUGGAAUGGCGGAAUAUACCAUAGUUGGAUUUAAAGAAGUAAAAAGCGUGUUAUUGUUAAUUUAUCCAUUCCUUCGUUUAAAAAAGUCUUUAGCGGAAUUAAUGAUAAAAUUGAUCGAUUCUCAUCCUAAAAAAAUGAGCCCCAAAGAACUUAUUAGAUUAAGUGUCUUAGUCGAUCAAACCGCCACUUAUAAUUAUUCAAAAAAAGAAUAAAUACAAGCGAAGUAAUAAAAGAUUUUCUCGAACAUAAAUCUUUUCCCCGUAGAGACUGAAUCUUGCAGAAGAACAAGAUGAGAUAGCCUUUUUAAAAGGGUUAUAAGACGUCAGCCCCUAAUUCCGUCAAAGACGGAAAAGGGUGAAGGUAUAGUCCAUGCCAUUAGUAAUAAUGGAAUAACAUGCGUGAGACAGUUCGGUCUCCUAUCCGCUACGGGCGUUGAAUCUUGAGUAGUCCCUUCCCUAGUACGAGAGGACCGGGAAGGACGAACCUCUGGUGUAUCGGUUGCAGUACCAACUGCAUUGCCGAGUAGCUACGUUCGGUUUGGAUAAACGCUGAAAGCAUCUAAGCGUGAAGCCGUCUACAAGAUUAGGAUUCAUUAUUAGGCCUCUUGGAGAUUACAAGAUUGAUAGGCCGUAGGUGUAAGGCCCGCAAGGGUUUUAGCCGAGCGGUACUAAUAGGCCAAGUAACCAC
rnacentral:rRNA from 1 species